rnacentral:lncRNA from 1 species
CGUUCGGGUCGCAGCUAGGGAGUGCGCCUGCGCUGCACUGCUUCCGGAUUGAGGGACUGCCCUUGCGCAUCACCGCUUUUUCCGCCUUCUCCAGCUGCUGCAAGGGCUCAAGGGUGCAGGUGGAGUUCCAUCUCUGAUUGCUGGGCUCUCUGUAGGCCUUUUGGCUGGCUAUGGAGCCUACCGUGUCUCCAAUGACAAACGGGAUGUCAAAGUGUCACUGUUUACAGCUUUCUUCCUGGCCACCAUAAUGGGUGUGAGAUUUAAGAGGUCCAAGAAAGUAAUGCCUGCUGGUCUAGUCGCAGGCUUAAGCCUCAUGAUGAUCCUGAGACUUGUCCUGCUGCUGCUGUAGCAUCCAGAGAAGCGGAGAGCCAAACUCCCACCAUGCUGCUGGGCCUGGCAGAGCAGGCUCUUGCUUUAGAGUGAUCAAUUUAAAUACAUGGGAAAUGUCUUACAUCGAAAUGAAAAUAAU